rnacentral:rRNA from 1 species
UGGGGAAUAUUGCGCAAUGGGCGAAAGCCUGACGCAGCGACGCCGCGUGAGGGAUGAAGGUUUUCGGAUCGUAAACCUCUGUCAGAAGGAAGAAAGUGCGUGGUGCUAAUCAGCCGCGUAUUGACGGUACCUUCAAAGGAAGCACCGGCUAACUCCGUGCC